AUUGAACGCUGGCGGCAGGCCUAACACAUGCAAGUCGAGCGGUAGAGAGGUGCUUGCAUCUCUUGAGAGCGGCGGACGGGUGAGUAAUGCCUAGGAAUCUGCCUAGUGGUGGGGGAUAACGUUCGGAAACGGACGCUAAUACCGCAUACGUCCUACGGGAGAAAGCGGGGGAUCUUCGGACCUCGCGCCAUUAGAUGAGCCUAGGUCGGAUUAGCUAGUUGGUGAGGUAAUGGCUCACCAAGGCGACGAUCCGUAACUGGUCUGAGAGGAUGAUCAGUCACACUGGAACUGAGACACGGUCCAGACUCCUACGGGAGGCAGCAGUAGGGGAAUAUUGGACAAUGGGCGAAAGGCCUGAUCCAGCCAUGCCGCGUGUGUGAAGAAGGUCUUCGGAUUGUAAAGC
rnacentral:rRNA from 1 species